CUUUCUACACAGGUUGGGAUCAGUUGCAAUGCUGUGUAUGUCUGUGGUAUUGCACUUGUCCCGGCCUGUUGAGGUUGG
rfam:Balearica pavonina gibbericeps contig101127, whole genome shotgun sequence.